rnacentral:lncRNA from 1 species
CUUAGAGGCACCCGAUGGUUCUAGGAGGAGACAGAGAAUCCGGGAAUCCUCCCAGCCUGGAUCCAGGUCCUUCUUGGGCAGCUCUGUGUGCUCAGAGUGGGGGCAGCUGCAGGACUAAGGUGGCAGCUGAGGUGGGGGUCAAGGUGCAGGUCUCACCUCCUGUCCAUCAUGGGGUCCUCCCUGGGCUCUGGGUCUUAGAGCAGAUCUGUGGGGUGCAAAAUGCAGAGAGGCCUUGGUGUAUCCUCCUGGUCCUCCCAUCAAGAGCAGAACAAGGCAGGGGUAUUGGUGAGGUCACUCAGCCCUCUCCCCAUUAGAUCCAGGCAACUAGCCCACCAACGCCAGGCCACCUCCACCUCCCCAGGGUCCCCUCUAAAGCAUGGCCCCAUCCUACCACAUCACCUCUCGGCCAUCUCCUGAAGGUCAACAGCCCUGGGCCUGAGGAGCAGGGAGGUGGGCAGUCAGUUAAGGAAUGGGCAGGGGUCCUGGUGUCCACCAUGGUCCUCAACACCCCACAGCUCAGCCUGGGGAAGUGGACCUCUCCUCUGCACCAUUCACCCCAUUAGCUCUCAUGAGCCCGUCCUGGCCCCUUUGGACCUGGGUUUGAUGGAGCACCAGUGACAGUUAGCACAGAGGACAGUGCCAGGGAGACCAGCUACCCCACGUCCACUGAGGGAGUCAGCUUGGUGGCCAUCCUGGAGGACCUGCUGCGUCUGUCACAGCACACCCCUGAGCACCUGUGCUGGUGGCUGUGUGAGGGGACCACAGUGGCCUGCAGCGUGUGCUGGCUCCUGAGUCCCCAGCCCUCAACCCCCAGCCACUCUCUCUAUUCCAAGAGGCACCCCCAGGUCCAGGAGCAGUGGGCACCUCUGUGCAAUCAGGGAGCCAGGAAGGGACGUGGACGUCUAGCCCAGGUCCACCCACACUCCAAGUGCUCUUUGCUGGUGCCCUGGGAAGAGGCGGAGAUUCUGGCCAGAGCAGGAAGGUCGUCCAUCUCCUGUGGCUGAGCAGUUCCCUGGGAAAGCACUUGUGUUGGCCAAAACCACAACCUGGGCCUUGAGGAUUCAGGUUGUGUUCCUGAAUCAUGUGGCCCAGACAGAAAGACAUGACCCAUGCCCACAUGGACUCUGCCCUCCCAGGGCUCUGCCUGUCCCUAGUGUUGGCCGUGGCAGGUCACCCUGGGCUCCUCAGGGCAUGACCUCAGCUUCCCAGGGCUCCCUCCUCUGGCCUGGGCUCUGGAGGCCCAAUGUCUUCAGGGGGGACUUUCCACCAUGUCCUCUGCUGCCUCCCCCCCCCCCAGGGCACAGCAGGGACAGGAGGUGGGUGAAUUGGGGCCACACUGGGGCCAGGAUGCAGGAGCUGAACAAAGCUGCAAAGUGAGCAGGAUGUGGUCACAGGACCUUCACACCCUGCAGGGUUGCUGCCUCCUCCCCACAGCAAGGUGACCAGCUCCUCUCCCCAGCGAGGGCCGGGAGUGGGCAGCUGCAGAUGAGACCUGGGUGCAGCACAGGCCCCUCCCAGGCCGUGCUCGGCCCUCACAGAGCCCCUGGGUGGACACUGCUAGCCCACUGUGGCCAUGCAGCACCCACACAGACAUUCAUCACGUCUCUCCACCUUUCCUGGGUCUAUGCAACUUGUCCUGGGCACCAGGCCCCAGGCACAUGAACACGGAGUCAGUACUCACACAGGAUCGUGUAGAAGUAAAGCAAGUCCUCUACUCCUCACCUGUGUGCUCUUCAUCAACAAUUCCCGUUUAGCAGAGGCUGGGUGACCUGGGCCUGCCCCACAUCCACCGUGUCCUGGGGUCAUUUUCACCUUCCCAUCACGUUCCCCGUGCACCUGGAGCCCGCCCCUGUGCUCCUGGGUUCAGCUCUGGUCACUCUGUCCUUGACCUUAGUGGGCUUCAGUCCUUUCAUCUCUUUCCCGCACCUGGGGCUGACCUCAGGCCCUGCACGAGGACUUGGGUAGGCGAGUGCUCUACCGCGAGCCACGUCCCAGCCCUGUGACUUUUCUCUAAGGUUCCCAGGGUGGCCUCAAACCUGGGAUCCUCCUGCUCAGUUUGUACAGCCCCUGGGAUUACAG